rnacentral:rRNA from 1 species
CCCUUAGAUGUCCUGGGCCGCACGCGCGCUACACUGAACGGAUCAGCGCGUUUUCCCUUCCCGAGAGGGACGGGUAACCUGCUGAACCCCGUUCGUGGUAGGGAUCGGGGCUUGCAAUUAUUCCCCGUGAACCAGGAAUGCCCAGUAAGUGCAAGUCAUAAGCUUGCGUUGAUUACGUCCCUGCCCUUUGUACACACCGCCCGUCGCUACUACCGAUUGAACGUUUUAGUGAGGUACUCGGACUGAGCCCCAGAAGAUUCACGUCUUUUGUGCUGCUCGGGAAGAUUCCCAAACUUGAGCGUUUAGAGGAAGUAAAAGUCGUAACA